rnacentral:rRNA from 1 species
AGAGUUUGAUCAUGGCUCAGAACGAACGCUGGCGGCAGGCUUAACACAUGCAAGUCGAACGCAUCCUUCGGGGUGAGUGGCAGACGGGUGAGUAACGCGUGGGAACGUGCCCUUCAGUUCGGGAUAACCCAGGGAAACUUGGGCUAAUACCGGAUACGUGCGAGAGCAGAAAGAUUAAUCGCUGAAGGAUCGGCCCGCGUCUGAUUAGCUAGUUGGUGGGGUAAUGGCCCACCAAGGCGACGAUCAGUAGCUGGUCUGAGAGGAUGAUCAGCCACAUUGGGACUGAGACACGGCCCAAACUCCUACGGGAGGCAGCAGUGGGGAAUAUUGGACAAUGGGCGCAAGCCUGAUCCAGCCAUGCCGCGUGAGUGAUGAAGGCCUUAGGGUUGUAAAGCUCUUUCGUCCGGGACGAUAAUGACGGUACCGGAAGAAGAAGCCCCGGCUAACUUCGUGCCAGCAGCCGCGGUA